CACCGGCGGCCCGAGUGGUGAUCGUGAUUAUUGGGUCUAAAGGGUCCGUAGCCGGUUUGGUCAGUCCUCCGGGAAAUCUGAUAGCUCAACUAUUAGGCUUUCGGGGGAUACUGCCAGACUUGGAACCGGGAGAGGUAAGAGGUACUACAGGGGUAGGAGUGAAAUCUUGUAAUCCCUGUGGGACCACCUGUGGCGAAGGCGUCUUACCAGAACGGGUUCGACGGUGAGGGACGAAAGCUGGGGGCACGAACCGGAUUAGAUACCCGGGUAGUCCCAGCCGUAAACGAUGCUCGCUAGGUGUCAGGCAUGGCGCGACCGUGUCUGGUGCCGCAGGGAAGCCGUGAAGCGAGCCACCUGGGAAGUACGGCCGCAAGGCUGAA
rnacentral:rRNA from 1 species